rnacentral:rRNA from 1 species
AUUGAACGCUGGCGGCAGGCUUAACACAUGCAAGUCGAGCGGGGGAAGGUAGCUUGCUACUGGACCUAGCGGCGGACGGGUGAGUAAUGCUUAGGAAUCUGCCUAUUAGUGGGGGACAACAUCUCGAAAGGGAUGCUAAUACCGCAUACGUCAUACGGGAGAAAGCAGGGGAUCUUCGGACCUUGCGCUAAUAGAUGAGCCUAAGUCGGAUUAGCUAGUUGGUGGGGUAAAGGCCUACCAAGGCGACGAUCUGUAGCGGGUCUGAGAGGAUGAUCCGCCAAACUGGGACUGAGACACGGCCCAGACUCCUACGGGAGGCAGCAGUGGGGAAUAUUGGACAAUGGGGGGAACCCUGAUCCAGCCAUGCCGCGUGUGUGAAGAAGGCCUUAUGGUUGUAAAGCACUUUAAGCGAGGAGGAGGCUACUCUAGUUAAUACCUAGGGAUAGUGGACGUUACUCGCAGAAUAAGCACCGGCUAACUCUGUGCCAGCAGCCGCGGUAA